UACGUAGGGUGCGAGCGUUAAUCGGAAUUACUGGGCGUAAAGCGUGCGCAGGCGGUGAUGUAAGACAGAUGUGAAAUCCCCGGGCUCAACCUGGGAACUGCAUUUGUGACUGCAUCGCUGGAGUGCGGCAGAGGGGGAUGGAAUUCCGCGUGUAGCAGUGAAAUGCGUAGAGUAUGCGGAGGAACACCGAUGGCGAAGGCAGCCCCCUGG
rnacentral:rRNA from 1 species